rnacentral:rRNA from 1 species
GACGAACGCUGGCGGCGUGCUUAACACAUGCAAGUCGUACGGUAAGGCCCUUUCGGGGGUACACGAGUGGCGCACGGGUGAGUAACACGUGAGUAACCUGCCCACAACUUUGGGAUAACGCUAGGAAACUGGUGCUAAUACUGGAUAUGUGCUCCUGCUGCAUGGUGGGGGUUGGAAAGCUCCGGCGGUUGUGGAUGGACUCGCGGCCUAUCAGCUUGUUGGUGGGGUAGUGGCCUACCAAGGCGGCGACGGGUAGCCGGCCUGAGAGGGUGAACGGCCACAGUGGGACUGAGAUACGGCCCAGACUCCUACGGGAGGCAGCAGUGGGGAAUAUUGCACAAGGGGCGCAAGCCUGAUGCAGCAACGCCGCGUGCGGGAUGACGGCCUUCGGGUUGGAAACCGCUUUCAGCAGGGACGAAGCUUUUUGUGACGGUACCUGCAGAAGAAGCACCGGCUAACUACGUG